rnacentral:miRNA from 1 species
CUCCAGAUGUUGCUGAACUACAACUCCCAUGAUUCUAUGAAUUAAAUAUAUAGGCUGAGAAUCAUGGGAGUUGUAGUUCAGCAACAUCUGGAG